UACGAAGGGGGCUAGCGUUGUUCGGAAUUACUGGGCGUAAAGCGCACGUAGGCGGAUUUGUAAGUCAGGGGUGAAAUCCCGGGGCUCAACCUCGGAACUGCCUUUGAUACAGCACGUCUCGAGUCCGGAAGAGGUGGGUGGAAUUCCUAGUGUAGAGGUGGAAUUCGUAGAUAUUAGGAAGAACACCGGUGGCGAAGGCGGCCCACUGGUCCGGUACUGACGCUGAGGUGCGAAAGCGUGGGGAGCAAACAGG
rnacentral:rRNA from 1 species